rnacentral:rRNA from 1 species
UACGUAGGGACCGAGCGUUGUCCGGAAUCAUUGGGCGUAAAGAGCGUGUAGGCGGCUAUUUAAGUCCUGCGUGAAAUCCUGCGGCUCAACCGCAGACGGUCGUGGGAAACUGGAUGGCUAGAGUGCGGGAGAGGCGAGUGGAAUUCCUGGUGUAGCGGUGAAAUGCGCAGAUAUCAGGAGGAACACCGAUGGCGAAGGCAGGUCUCUGGGCCGAUACUGACGCUGAGGAGCGAAAGCGUGGGGAGCGAACAGG